AUUUCCGUGACAACGCGCGAGGCCUUACACAAAUACAAUAACAAUACCUUUCUCGGUAGAACAAUUAUUUCAUAGCACAUCGAAAUUAAUUAUUUAAAGAACGGAGUUCAAAUCUUGCGUUUUAUCCACUUGGAAUAACUCGCUCAGUCACAUGACCAUUACGUUAUGCUCGAGCAGCCACGUGCCCAUGCGAAUUCCAUCCAAACAAAAUCUGAGCUUGACGCUGUGAUGUAAGACGAGGAAGCGAGGAAAAAUUUGGCUAUUUCAACGCGGUUUACUUCGCAGUGAAGGACAAAACAAUUGACCAUAUUAUACCAAACGCCGGAAGGAGCUCAGACUUGUAAAAUUUUGUUGUUCAAAUUGAAUCUGAUAAUUUUCAACGUUAAAAACAAAGUUUGACAGCGGCAGUCUAAAAUUUGAUUGCUCACCUGAGUUGACAGAAAAGAAAUCAAUCCGUCAGUUAGUUUGAUGAAUAAAGAAAAAUGUGAUGGAAUGAGGAGGAAAAGCCAAGAACAAUACCACAAGCAGGUUGGUAAGAAGUUAAAAGGCAUUGGAGAUAGAUUCACUCUCAAGUACGCUGGUGAUGCAGAGCAGCCAUGGAGAGACAACAUUAUAAUUCAGCACAGUUUAAAUGCGUUCACAUUGCUGUGCAUUGCAAGCUGCACAACCGCUCUAAUUUACUGCAUGCGAAAAUAGUGAAAAUCUUCUAUCAAGUACUUUCUAUGUAUAUAGCUCGUUAAAAACCAAAUUUGUGAAUAUUGGAUACCGGGAUAAUUGCUUUGGUUUUACAAGGAUGGAAUGGUUUUACAAGGAUGAAACAGAAUAACUUGUACAAGAGUGCCUUUAUGCUUUCUACUUUCCGAACAAGGAGAGAAACAAAGACUUGCAUUGACUAUUUAAGAUUUCUACUCAAGUGGAAUGGAGUGCAAAUUACAGACUCGUUACAUCUACGUUUCGCACAAGAUGUGGCAAUGGGCCCAAUUUUCUCAACGCUACUUUUGUAGUAAAAAUACGCCUUACCUUCUCUACUUUACCUAAAUGCGAACUCGUUAUUCUUUGUUAUAGAAGUGAUGGUGUAUGAAUUACCAAUUUAAGUACUGUCUGUGACCUAGCCAGGGAACUUGUGGAGGUGCUGACAACCUGAACAAAUUCUAUCAGUUUUUACACAGAUAUGGUGAAAGAGCUCAGAUUCACCGUCAUUCCUUUCCCCAUUUCUUCCCAUUUUGAAAUUUAUUGACAAAAUACUAAAAGUUUUGUCUGAAAUUAGGCCAUGGAUAUAGAUUAUAAAGACUAAUAUGACGUACAAAAAUAAAGACAAAAAUUGCCCUCAGAGGGUACAUAUUUGGUCACCAAAUAGCUAGGCCUUGGUAUUAUUUCUUCUCUUUGGAAUCUUUGUGGGAUUAAAAAGUAAAAACUUGCAGUCUUUGAGGAACUUAUUUCAUUUCUAAUGUGAAGAUUUUCAUGAAAAAUGUUGAAGGUAAAAACCUUGGUUAUUUUGUGAAAAUUGCUGCAGCUAAAGAUCAAUGUCACAUCUGAUGAAAGCUUGUAAUGCAAUUCUCUCUCAUGUGAAGUUUCUUUGCCAAAAAUGAAACCCUCUGUAUUGGUUGUUUAUGCAAUCACUACUUUGCCCUAGCCUAUGAUAAAGCAACCAGGGCCUACUAUUGGGAGACGGUAAAAAUUAUUUUGUUGUAAAUAUGUUGAUGCUUCAGUUAAAUGAAUUUUUUUGAAGCUGUGAACCAGCUCUUAAGUCAUUGUAAAUAAAUAUGUAAAUACACAAAGUUAAAUAUUCCGUUGGAAUUCUGCAAAAAAUUGUUGGUAAAUUGUUUACUUUGCAAAGAAUGUUCUGCAUUGAAAAUGCUGCUUCAGGAAUAUUGUGUUUUUUUUGUUUGUCUGUGGUGAAGGCGGACAUGUGAUGUUCCAUUUCAGUCUCCGUUCCGUAAGAAAGCACAAUAGAUAACCAAUGUAGUGCUCUUUGUGAAAUAGGAGAGAGAAGAUGAUAAUAUUAUGGAAAAUAGCCAGCGAAAUUCAUUCUCAUUCUUUAACUCAAAGCAAAGCACUGAUCUAUCACUGCUCUAUACAAGGUAGCAGCUACGUGGAACAUAUGCGUGUAAGCCUCCCUCUAAUACCACAUUUAUCAAAGACACAAGUUUGUUUCUUAUUUUCGGGACCUAAAAUUGCCUUAUUGUUAUAUUGCCAAAGAAAGAUCAGCAAAAUAUAAAAUUUUGGACACUUUUUUUAUCCGAGAUUUUCAAGCAGGCGCUGUAAUAUAAUUUUUGCGAAUUUUUGCUGUUGCUGGGAAGGAGACAGGAAAACGAGGCUCAAGAACGUGUAGCGACGGCGGGAAACUGAAAUCUGCUGAUGACACCGUUCUUGGCACACGUGCAAGUCCUGUUCAGGUCAUUUUCAGUCAAAGAAAAGUUGCCUUAGACAAGCAAUAUCAAGAAAUGAAAAUGAUGCACCAGGAAGCGUAGAAAGUGGCAUCGAACAGCAAUAUCAAGAACCCAUACAACCUGGGCGGCGGUCGCAAGCAAAGUGACUUUCUGUUAUAGAAAGCUCCCCUUCUGCAUUGCCGCCGUGUUCACCAAGGAAAAAGCUAUCUGCUGCUACUCUAGCGGAAGUGAUCAUCAAAAGAAAAUGAA